GAUAAACGCUGGCGGCGUGCCUAACACAUGCAAGUCGAACGCCCUACGCUUGCGUAGGGAGUGGCGGACGGGUGAGGAACACGUGGGUCAUCUACCCAGAGGUGAGGAAUACCGGCGAGAAAUCGCCGACAAUACCGCAUACGUUCUGUAAAGAACAAAGUCGCAAGACGCCUUUGGAUGAGCCUGCGCCCGAUUAGUUAGUUGGUGGGGUAAAAGCCUACCAAGACUACAAUCGGUAGCUGGCUGAGAGGACGAUCAGCCACACUGGGAUUGAGAACGGCCCAGACUCCUACGGGGGGC
rnacentral:rRNA from 1 species